UGUCCCCUUUGGUUCGCCUUACCUA
rnacentral:misc_RNA from 1 species